GACGGCACGUCUGCAGCACCUGCCAGCCCACGCACUGGCCUGCCUGGACAUCACAAGUGACCAGGGUUACUCGGCACUAUCAUAUCUCUCAAAGAAGAAACAACUCCUCCAACGGCAACAUCUGUGGGGCUGCUUUUGAACUAUCAGCAAUUCAUUUGAGCAAGAGCUGGGAGCAUUUUUCCCCUGGGCCUGAUCAUGAGGAAGUGUUUGCCCCUCUGGAGGACACAGCAACAAGGACCAUCUUGGAAGCAGAGACCUGGCCCUCACCAGACACCAUACCUGCCGGCACCUUGAUCUUGAACUUCUCAGCCUCCAGAAGUCCAGCAGUGAAAGUGCAACGACUAAAAGGGAAUGGAGUGACACAGACAAGUGUCUACAAGAGACCCUGGGGCUGCUACUCCAAAUGCUGUCACUUUGCAAGGUUACUGGGUAGAACUUCAAUCUUACUACUCACCUGCUCAACAACCUGCAAUGGCUCCCUAUUGUUGCCUUUCCCAACAAGGCCUCAUUUCAUGGAUGAUUUUCCAUCGUCUGGCCCUAUCCUAAAAGAGAGUGGAGCCUCUUGCUCAGAGUCAGGCUUUGGUCUCAACUGCCUUGUUUCACAUUCUCACUAUGCCAGUCCCCAGCUGGGUGAUGAUGAGUAAGUUACUUAGCCUCUCUGGGCACUGGCUUCCUUACUUAUUAAAUGUAGAUAAUAUUAGGUUGGUGCAAAGUAACUGCAGCUUUUCCCAUUAAAAGUAAUAAUAUCUCACUUAUAAAAUUAUUUUGAGAAUUUAAAAUCAUGCACGGUCCCUGUGAAUAUGCUACAAACCGCUGAUUUAUACAACUUAAAAUGGUAAUUUUAUGGUAUGUGACUAAUAUUUCAAAAAAAAAAAGUAAGCAUGGUGUCUGGCCCAGAUCUUUGAAAAUAAAACGAUGCUAAUUAUUGUUAUGAACAAGGUUUCCCAAGGCCCUGUCACUGGGCCAGGCACACAGCAGAUGCUCAGUAAACACUCCUGGAAUGAAUGGAGAACAUAUUCCAC
ensembl:lncRNA novel transcript